GAGGUGAGAUACGGUAGAAAGUGAAAAGUGGACUUUUUACCCUUUUUUGAGCAUAUAAACCGAUCUGAGUCCCAUGAAUGUUUGACGAUCGCUAUGAAAUUAUUUCUCACGUCUGUAAAAUUCAUAAACACGUAAGAAAAGUAUAAUUUUAUAUUGAUUCAGAGUGUUCCUGAGAGGUGAGAUACGGUAGAAAGUGAAAAAAGUGGACUUUUUACCCUUUUUUGAGCAUAUAAACCGAUCUGAGUCCCAUGAAUGUUUGACGAUCGCUAUGAAAUUAUUUCUCACGUCUGUAAAAUUCAUAAACACGUAAGAAAAGUAUAAUUUUAUAUUGAUUCAGAGUGUUCCUGAGAGGUGAGAUGCGGUAGAAAGUGAAAAAGUGGACUUUUUACCUUCUUUUGGGCAUAUAAACUUAUCUGAGUCCGAUGAAUGUUUGACGAUCGCUAUGAAAUUAUUUCUCUCGUCUGUAAAAUUCACAAACACGUAAGAAAAGUAUAAUUUAAUAAUGAUUCAGAGUGUUUCUGAGAGGUGAGAUGCGGUAGAAAGUGAAAAAAUUGACUUUUUACCCUCUUUUGGACAUAUAAACCGAUCUGAGUCCCAUGAAUGUUUGACGAUCGCUAUGAAAUUAUUUCUCUCGAUUUCUAUUAUCUACAUUUAACUUUGAAUGUUGACUUCUUUAUAGAGUAUCUUAUCAUAUUUUAUUAAAAAAAAUGCUUCAUAUUUCAUUGCAGAGGAAUAGUAGUAUUGUUUUGUACCUUAAAAAAAAAAGACAAUUUUUUAUAAUAUUAUGAAGUGUGUUUUUUUUUUGUCAGUUCUAUACAACUAUUGCAUAAGAGAUGUUGCAAGCAAACAAACAACCAAUAGUUUCACGGCAAUGCUAAU